ACCAUCAUCGUCUAGUGGUUUAGGAUACCAGAUUUUCAUACAACACAUGGAUAUUUUCUGGGGACCGGAGUUCGAACCUCCGUGAUGGUG